rnacentral:lncRNA from 1 species
UCCGGUUCUUUGAAAGAAAAAUUUCAGUUUCGUUCCUUAGUUUAAAAAAUGGCUUAUCUUCCAAAAUAAUUUGAUCUAAAUGAUGUGCCUAAUGUACAACCAGAAAUCGCAGUUGUUCAUAAUUCCUUAUCUCAAAAAGAUCCUCUCAUGAGUAAUGCCUUGGUGAUGCUGGAUGAUGCCAGUUGCUGCAUCAGUAGCUAGGGGGAUCAUUACUCCACAAGAUGAAAAGUAUGGCGGAUAGAACUGAGUUGAAGCCAUUAAUGACUCUAUGGCACCAGUAUUCAGUGUGCGUCUUCUGUUUCAAAUAUUGGCUCGAGUCUUGCCAAGUUCGAGGGAGUGAAGUUCAAGAGACUAAGGACUCAACUUUGAGUUUGCAACGAAGGAAUAGAAGCCUCCAGCAAGAGAAGGAGAAUUAAAGAGUGUUGAAGAAAAAAGAAAACUGGUCGAUCAUAUGCUAAGUGAUAUGAGAAAGAGCUGUUCAGAACUAGAGAUGCCACACAAACCUUAAUUCGGGAGCAGCAACAUGAGAGUUUCUCUUGCAGAAAAAGUCUCAAGAUUUCCAGCCCAGAAGGCUUUUAAACAAGGUAUGAUUCAGAAAAGUAAAUUUAUUUAUAAAAUAAAAUAAAUAACUGAAAUUAUUAGCAAUAUCUGUAGGUCUACACAUACCAAGUUCUCGACGAAUGGUGCAGAAACGGUCAUCUUGAAGUGGUUUUGUGAAGAUGUAAAGCCUUUGAAAAUCAGAGUAUUAUAAACUUCUAGUUCUACAUCUCCUUUUUGAACAUGGUCACGAAAUAAAGUGAUGUCUAAUUCAAUAUGUUUUGUUCGUGAGUGAGAAUAGGAUUUUUAGAAAUAUUUAUAGCACUCGUAUUUCGCAUCUAAAGGGUAGUGAUCAAAUUUUAAUUUUAAAAAUCUUCAAGUGGUGCCUUCAUAUAAAGAAACUUUGAGCACAACAACUGCCUGCGGAAAUAUAUUCUGCUUCAGAGUGGACGAGAGCGCAACUGAUUUUGUUUCUUACUAAACCAAGAAAACAAGUGGAGAUGUCUAGAAGUGGGGGACCCCACGUACCACUUGUACUUUUACGAUCAAUUUUGCACCCUGCAAAAUCUGCAUCUGAAUAACUUACUAAAUCCAAUGAAGUGAAUUAGUAUACCAUAAACAUAGAUCUAUUGUGCCAAGUAAAUAUCAAAAAUUCGUUUAACGGCAAUUAAAUGUGAUUCUUGGACCGAGUGAAAUCUUAGCACAUAAAGCAAAACACUAAAACCUGAUAUCUGCCUAGCCGUUAACUAUAGUAAAUACCAAUAAUGCCUCUAUAUGUUUAAUGGCAACAUUUUCCCAGUUUCUCUUUAUCAAGUUGGUUGGUGAAAUUCAUUGGGGGUGACAUAGGAUUUUGAAUUUUCUAUCCCAAAUUCUUGAGAAGAUCUUUUAUAAUUUAGGAUUUGGUUGAUAAAGAUUCCAUUUUAGUUUGCUUAAUUGAUAGACCAAGAAGAAUCUUAGUUCACCCACAUGGCUCCUUUCAAAUUUUUUUUGCAUAAUUUUUGAAAAAUUCACUACAACAGGUUCCAUUUGUUGAUCCAAACAUAAUCAUCAAACAAUAGUCUGCACCAAUGAGUGUAAAUCCUCAUUUUUGAUUUUGGUAAACAAGUGGUCAAUUUUCCUCUUGUAAACCUUUUUCCAAAAGAAAUCCAUUAGUCUUAUACCAUGAUCUUGCGGGCUGUUCAAGCCCAUUACAAGACUUGGUCAAUGAAAAACAUGGUUUGGAAAUUCGUGAUUUUCAAAACCGGGGGGGUGCGUUGUUCAAACAUAAAACUUCUUCGAAAAUGAGGACCAUUUUUAAAAAAUGCACUUUUGACAUCAAUUGAAAUAAUUUAAAAUUCUUUAUAGGAAGCAAAAGCUAAUAGCAUUCUUAUAGCUUCAAAGUCGAGCUACGGGGGCAAAGCGGGGGGGUUUUCUUCAUAGUCAAUCCUCUUGGUUGUAGCCUUGGGCUACUAAUUAGCUUUAUUUCUAAUGAUAAGCCAUUUUCAUCUUUUUAUACGAAAAAGCCAUUUGUUCCAAUUAAUUGAUUGAUGUUGGGUCUAGGAACUAAUGUCAAACAUGUUCCUUUCAAAUUGGUUAAGUUCUUCUCCAGGCCAUAACCAAAACUCAUCAGUUUCAGCCUUCUUCAAUAUUUUUAGGUUCAAUUUUCGAAACCAAAAGCCAUGUUAUACCACAAUAUUUCUAAGUGAAGACCAGGUGAUUACACCUUUGAGGGGCACCUCGAAUUUGAUCGAUGGGGUGAUUUUUACAAUUCUCCAAAGAUAGGAAAUUGUUUUGUUCAUGUUCAAGAGAGAUGCAUUUUUUCAUGAUCUCUUCUUGGUUAGACUCUGAGAGGAUUGAUUUUUAUUUUGAUAUUAUUAUUCAUUAUUUCUUGUAAGCACUAAUUAUCAUCUCAUCCUCUCUAAUUUUCUUAGGCUUGAAGAAUCAACUUCAAUCAAUGCAACAUGUAUAGACUCUUCAAUUUUAAAGUUUCUUUGUUAUAGACUCUAUAAGCUUUGCUAUUUGUAGAAUAUCAAGAAAUAUGCCCUUUCAGAUUAGCAUCAACUUACCAAAUUAUUGUGUCAUUUAGAAUUAAAGCAUUUUGCCACCAAACCAAAUAUUUGAAAUAACCACUAUUGGGUGUUCUCAGUUCCAAACGUUCGUACGGAGUCUUUUCAAGUUUUUGAUCUAAUAAUACACGAUUUAUAAUAUAACAAGCUGUAUUUACAGCUUCAGCCCCAAAAAUAUUAGGUAAAAUUAUGUUCAUUUAACAUAGUUCUAGCCAUUUAUUGAAGAGACUAUUUUUUACGUUCAACAACUCCAUUUUGUUGAGGUGUUUAGGUGCGAGAAGUUGUGUGUAAAUCCAUGAUCAUAAAUAUUUUCAAUAUCUUGAUUAUCCAAAUUCUCUUCCUCAUCACUAGAAUAUUGGUGAUAGUGCAACUAUUUUCAUUUGUGGUCUUCUUUACCAGAAUUUUGCAAUGCAAAUGUGUGCCUUCAUUUUGGGAGUAAGAGAAAUAAAUACCCAUGGAAAAACGUGAAAAAUCAUCAACAAUACAACUGCAGAUAAUUCCCACCAAGACUAGCAGCCCUAUUGGGGACCAAACAAAUCCAUAUUCCAGCAGUUGAUUGAAGUGGUCUUAGAUGUGGAAAUAUAUUUUUUUCUUGGAAAAGAGGUUAUGUUGCUUCCCUAGUUGACAUGCAUCACCAAUUUUGUCUUAACAACUUGAUUUUAGGUAAACCUUUAACUAAAUAUGCUGUUAAUUUAUGAAGUAAAUCCAUGCUAGCAUGUCCUAAUCUUCGAUGCCAAAACCAACUAUUUUCAUUUAUGGCCGACAAGACCUUUAACCUCUUGAUUAACAAACUAUCAAAGGCAAAGGUAUAUUAAUUUCCAUUGUCUAGAGGACCCCCCCCCCCCAAAAAGAAAAAAUUUUUAAUUUUUGUUUUUUUAUUAUUAUGAGCAUGCGUAAGUAUGCAUUGAUUUUUAUCAAAUAAACCUUAUAGUCUUUAUCAACUAUAAUGGCUUAUACUUAUUAGAUUAUGCUUAAGGCCAUCACUAAAUAGGAACAUUUUCAAUGCAGAAGAGUAAUUGUCAAUAUCCUACUCCAUAAUUUUACCUUUUGAAUCUAUCGCCAAAUGUGACAAUCUCCAUCCUUGGGUGUGUGAAAGAUGAAAGUUUUGAUGUGUCUUGCCCGUCAUAUGCUUGAGCAAGCGAUAUCCAUGAAACAUUCGUUGGAGCUUACAUAUGACUUAAGACAUAUCUACAAAAUUAAAAUCAAAAAUUCUUUUUGGUACCAAAAUUUCUUGGGUCCGUGAAGGUCAGCUUUAAGUAUAUUAUUUUGUUUGGGUAACCAAGCCUUAAAGUAUUCAAGGGUUAAUAAUUUUAGGGAUUUGAUUCCCUUCUUAAUUUAUCUGUUGAUAGGUAUUUAUAGGAUAAAACUUCAUACAAUAGGUCCAUUCUGUCCAUAUAACUUGUAAGUAGUGAAUGAAGAAUUAAAGCAAGAUUCUUUUUCAAAGAAAUUUUUAUAACAACUUUUGUUUAUUUUAGGAGAAUUACCCCCAAAACCUCUUUGUUAAAAAAACCACACCUUUGUCUUCCAAGUAACCAUCUUUAAAAUUUUCUUGCCAUUAACAAAUUGUUUCAAAAGUUUUGUUUAAAUCUUUAAUGGUUUCUUUAGUUUAAUAUUUUCUUCUUCUAAAAAUUAUUGAAGACUUGAUCGUGGCGUUGAGAUUAUUAGUAUUUUGGAGUAAAUUUUCAUUUUAUUUUUUUUAAAAUUAACUAUUCAUUCAAAAAUCAUUCUUUCUUUUAAGAGUAUUGUAUUUAGACAUGUAAUUUUAUAGAUUUUUAUAUAACUCAUAUAGGCAUCUUGAAGGUCUUCUAAGAAUGUGAUUCAUCAUCAGAUCCAAAAGACUUACCUCAUCUCCUUGCCAUGAGGAAAAAAUUAGCCCAUCUCAUUUCGCUCCCUCUUUUCUGAUUCGCUUCCUUCUGAUCAUCCCAAGUUACUUCAAGGCUUUCUUUUUAAUUCUUCCUUCCUUCUUGAGGCGGAGCGCAAUCUGACUUAUAGUGUCUCAGGCUUAUGGCACUCGAAAAGCAAGUUGGAGGAUCCUUUGGCUUGGUUCGCCGUAAGGAGCCUCGUUCAUAUUAUGCUUCUUAUUGAAUGUUUUCUCCUUUCUCAUGAACCUUUUGAAAUCGUUUGUGAGAAGAGGUCAUUUCUUAUCGUCGUCACUCUCCUCGUCUUCUUCGCUCCCUUUCUUGAUGAGGGAGUGAGUGCGAGGACUUCUUUUGGGCUGUGUUCUUCUUCUCGUCCCUUAACAUGAUCUCAUGGGUCAUGAGUGGAACCCAAAGUUCAUCAAACUCAUCGUUUGUGAGAUCUUUAGCUUCUUCAAUACGUGCCUUUGCAUCCCAUUUUUGGGCAGGGACCUAAGAAUUUUCGCACUUUUUAACAUUAGUAUAAAACAUUUGCAGAGAUUUUAUGAAUUUAUAAUAUUAG